rnacentral:rRNA from 3 species
CCCCGGUAAACGGCGGCCGUAACUAUAACGGUCCUAAGGUAGCGAAAUUCCUUGUCGGGUAAGUUCCGACCUGCACGAAUGGCGUAAUGAUGGCCAGGCUGUCUCCACCCGAGACUCAGUGAAAUUGAACUCGCUGUGAAGAUGCAGUGUACCCGCGGCAAGACGGAAAGACCCCGUGAACCUUUACUAUAGCUUGACACUGAACAUUGAGCCUUGAUGUGUAGGAUAGGUGGGAGGCUUUGAAGUGUGGACGCCAGUCUGCAUGGAGCCGACCUUGAAAUACCACCCUUUAAUGUUUGAUGUUCUAACGUGGACCCGUAAUCCGGGUUGCGGACAGUGUCUGGUGGGUAGUUUGACUGGGGCGGUCUCCUCCUAAAGAGUAACGGAGGAGCACGAAGGUUGGCUAAUCCUGGUCGGACAUCAGGAGGUUAGUGCAAUGGCAUAAGCCAGCUUGACUGCGAGCGUGACGGCGCGAGCAGGUGCGAAAGCAGGUCAUAGUGAUCCGGUGGUUCUGAAUGGAAGGGCCAUCGCUCAACGGAUAAAAGGUACUCCGGGGAUAACAGGCUGAUACCGCCCAAGAGUUCAUAUCGACGGCGGUGUUUGGCACCUCGAUGUCGGCUCAUCACAUCCUGGGGCUGAAGUAGGUCCCAAGGGUAUGGCUGUUCGCCAUUUAAAGUGGUACGCGAGCUGGGUUUAGAACGUCGUGAGACAGUUCGGUCCCUAUCUGCCGUGGGCGCUGGAGAACUGAGGGGGGCUGCUCCUAGUACGAGAGGACCGGAGUGGACGCAUCACUGGUGUUCGGGUUGUCAUGCCAAUGGCACUGCCCGGUAGCUAAAUGCGGAAGAGAUAAGUGCUGAAAGCAUCUAAGCACGAAACUUGCCCCGAGAUGAGUUCUCCCUGAGACUUAGAGUCUCCUGAAGGAACGUUGAAGACGACGACGUUGAUAGGCCGGGUGUGUAAGCGCAGCGAUGCGUUGAGCUAACCGGUACUAAUGAACCGUGAGGCUUAACCUUACAACG